AAUGGACGAGAGUCUGAACCAGCCAAGUCGCGUGAAGGAAGACGGUUCUAUGAAUUGUAAACUUCUUUUGUGCAGGAAUAAAGUGGGUUACGUGUAACCUUUUGUAUGUACUGUACGAAUAAGGAUCGGCUAACUCCGUGCCAGCAGCCGCGGUAAUACGGAGGAUCCGAGCGUUAUCCGGAUUUAUUGGGUUUAAAGGGUGCGUAGGUGGAUUGAUAAGUCAGCGGUGAAAGUUUGCAGCUUAACUGUAAAAUUGCCGUUGAAACUGUCGGUCUUGAGUGCAAAUGAGGUAGGCGGAAUGUGUUGUGUAGCGGUGAAAUGCUUAGAUAUAACACAGAACUCCGAUUGCGAAGGCAGCUUACUGGGAUGCAACUGACACUGAUGCACGAAAGCGUGGGUAUCAAA
rnacentral:rRNA from 1 species